rnacentral:rRNA from 1 species
AUACGUAGGGGGCGAGCGUUGUCCGGAAUUACUGGGCGUAAAGGAUGCGUAGGUGGAUAUUUAAGUGGGAUGUGAAAUCCCCGGGCUCAACCCGGGAACUGCAUUCCAAACUGGGUAUCUAGAGUGCAGGAGAGGAAAGCGGAAUUCCUAGUGUAGCGGUGAAAUGCGUAGAUAUUAGGAGGAACACCAGUGGCGAAGGCGGCUUUCUGGACUGUAACUGACACUGAGGCAUGAAAGCGUGGGUAGCAAACAGGAUUAGAUACCCUGGUAGUCCACACUGUAAACGAUGGAUACUAGGUGUAGGGGGUAUCGACUCCCUCUGUGCCGCAGUUAACACAAUAAGUAUUCCGCCUGGG